UGGUACCGUAGCUGGGUCGCCCCUCGCUCAGUUGCUUCUCAGUUGUGCUGGUCGCUAGACAGCGCGUGGAUGUGUGGAGACACGGCGUCCUGACGGCUCGCCAAGCGGUAUUGGAUUUACGUACCAAAGUGAUAGUGGAAUUUAAUGUAAACCCAAGUGUGUCUGAGACCUGUAGUAGAACCAAUAUACAAACAGGUGUGUAUCUCGAGUCACCUAAUUAAGACAAAUCUUGUUAUUGAAUGAAACAGAAAGGAUAAUUGAAGAGCAUUUGUCAGUGACGAUUGUUGGACACAGGGAUAGAGCUGAACGGACUGUAGUGGAGACCCCUCUUGCUCCCUGAAUGAAUACACCCAACUACAGCUACCGCGCCACACAUACCUGGGCACAACACACCGUUAAGUGAAAGUUUUGACCGGAAAGUCAGUGAGUUUGCAGACAGUUCAUAUUGAAAGACACUGCAACAGUGAAGUCACCAAGGUUUUGAGUUUGCCAGUGAUUCCAGCUAAGGGUAUAUCUUUCUUUAAGGUUUUAUUACCCUGUGUACUGUGAUAGUUGGUGGAUCUGUGAGGUAAUCGUGCGUGGAAAGGAUUCUGUAAAGCGAGGCACCAUCACUGAAACAACACGUGUGGAGCCUGCAACCCCUCCAAGUGUGGAGUGAGCGGCUGACCACCACCCUCCAUGAACUGUGUGUAUUGGUGAUGGCGUGAGUGUGAGCAACACCACAGCAGCAGCGGCGGCAAGUAGGGUGGAGCGAGGAGGAUGGCGGGCGGAGUGUGGUCGGUGGUGUGGGCGGCGGCGGUGGGCGUGGUGAUCGGGUCCUCCACAGUCAUGGCGCUCACCGGCCCUAACGUCUGCACUAAGUAUGAAACGUACACGAGUUUGAGCAAUGUCUCCCACACAAAGGCUUACAGAAUACGAACCUACACGUACUGCUUCAGUAUUCCGCCCAAAUGUUCCAAGUACAAGAUUGCCUAUAAAACUUCUUUCAGAACCCAGAGCCAGACAAAAACUCGAACAGUAGAUGUGUGUUGUUCGGGCUUCACCAGAGUACCGUCUGAUGACCGGUGUAUCCCUAUCUGCUCAAUGGACUGUAUACAUGGGGUGUGCAUCAAACCUAAUGAAUGUCGUUGUGAGGCUGGCUACUCUGGGUCCAGCUGUGAGAUAAAUGACUUGGAGUUUGAUAAUGACCACAUCACAGUUGAGAAUGGUUUGAGCCCAUGCUCUGGUCCAGAUUGUUAUUCUUCAUUAAGGGCUUGUCCAGAGGGAAAGUGGGGUGUGGACUGUAAAUAUGACUGUCCAUGUCGACACGAAGGAAAAUGUGACCCUUCCUACGGUAACUGUUCGUGUCAUGCCGGGUGGAUUGGUCCUUACUGUGAGGAAAAGUGUCAGGGUGGAUACUAUGGUGUGGACUGCAAGGAUCGAUGUCGGUGUCAGAAUAGUGGAACUUGUGACCAUAUUUCUGGGGCCUGCCAAUGCCCUCCAGGUUGGACUGGUCCUCUGUGUGAAAAAUCUUGUCCUCUGGGAACUCAUGGUACUGCCUGCAGGAACAAGUGCCAGUGCCAGAAUGGAGGCCACUGUGAUCCUGUAAGCGGGAAAUGUCAAUGUCCGUCGGGUUGGACCGGAGAUGUUUGUGCCAACCCGUGUCUUCAGGGAACUUGGGGCCAAAACUGCUCAGAACUUUGUGACUGUUAUAACUCUGCUACCUGUGAUCACAUAACUGGUCGCUGUAAGUGCACUUCUGGAUAUGUAGGGAAUAAGUGUCAAGAACAAUGUCGUCUCGGUACAUAUGGAGUUAACUGUACAGAGAGUUGUAGCUGCCACAAUGGAGCAACAUGUUCUCACAUAAGUGGCAUCUGCUUCUGCAAGGAUGGAUGGCUGGGUAGUGACUGCUCUAUCCCUGCGUGUCCUCCUAAUCAGUUUGGUGCUGGAUGUUCAAAAAUAUGUUCUUGUGAAAAAGAUAAUACCGACAGGUGUCAUCCAUGGACUGGGGAGUGUGAGUGCAAGGCAGGUUGGGCUGGAGAAACUUGUACACGUGCCUGUCCAUUUUACAAGUUCGGAGAAAAGUGCGCCAAGAAUUGUCAGUGCAAAAAUGGUGCUUUUUGUGAUCCAGUCAAUGGUUCCUGUAUAUGUGCACCUGGUUAUCAUGGAGAGCAGUGUGGCAAACACUGUCCUCAAAACAGAUAUGGGCAAAAUUGUGAAUUGAAGUGCCGCUGUGAUCAUUCCCUAGGCUGUUCACAUGAGUCUGGGAAAUGCAUAUGUGAACCAGGCUGGGAAGGUCAGCAGUGCUCUCUUACCUGUCCGCUGGGUACAUAUGGAGGCAAUUGUACCAGGAAAUGUGAUUGUAGGAACAAGGGUUCAUGUCACCCAGUAACUGGCAAGUGUUCUUGUGGCCCUGGACACACUGGCGAGAAAUGUGAGAAGACCUGUGAUCAGGGCUAUCAUGGCAUGAGUUGUCAAAACUUCUGUGCUUGUGUUGGGCCAAAUGUUGAGGGAUGUGAUCCUGAAACUGGGAGGUGUAUAUGUAAACCUGGCUUCCGAGGUGUCAGCUGUGAGUCCCACUGUCCUCGUGGAUUCUAUGGAGACUCUUGUACAAAGAAGUGCGACUGUAAAAAUAAUGGUUCGUGCAACUUACAGACAGGGAAAUGUACAUGUGAGCGAGGAUGGCAUGGUGCAGCCUGCAACACUCCCUGCAGAAAUGAAAGAUAUGGAGUUAACUGCUACCAGAUAUGUCCAUCAUGUGUGCAUGGAAAUGGCACCUGCCAGCCACAGUUAGGAAGCUGUGUUUGUGCAGCUGGUUGGCGAGGACCUCGCUGUGAUCGCACGUGUUCCCCGGGUAUGUGGGGAAUUGCCUGUGCCAAUGAAUGCAGAUGUCGUAAUGGUGCCGAGUGUGAUCAUGAAACAGGAGAGUGUCUAUGUCUGCCAGGAUGGAGAGGUGGUGACUGUUCCCAGCCAUGCCCCCCUGGGACCUUUGGUUACAAUUGCCUUCAAACUUGCCACUGCCGUAACCAUGCCUCUUGCCGUGGGAGUGAUGGAUUUUGUGAAUGUAAGCCGGGAUGGAUGGGACCUGGUUGCACCCAGACUUGUCCAGAAGGUUAUUUUGGACGUCAGUGCUUGAAUGUAUGUAACUGUAGUACAGACAAUUUCAUCUGUCAUCCAGUUGAAGGUUGCAAGUGCAGACAUGGCUUUGAAGGUAACAUGUGUCACAUUCCCAUCACGAGUCCAAUAAUCAAGGACAUGGAGCCAGUCCUGCCCAUCACCUCAGGACCCAACAAUGCUGGACUCAUUGUUGGUGUUGUCACCAUCAUUCUCAUCACCAUUGUCAUUGCUGUUACUAUUUACUACAAACGCAGACUGAUGCGAUUGAAGCGAGAGUUGGCAGUGGUUCAAUACAUCGCUGAUCCCGCAGCUUCAGAGAGACCCAAGGCAGUUGAGAGCAAAGAGAGCACAAAACUCCGUGCUGCAAAUAAGCUCUCGCAGAAGUCUGGACAACCUGUAGCCAAAAGAUGGAGUUCUAUAGCAGAUCAACAUCACUUUGACAAUCCUGUAUAUGCCUACCAGUCUGUGAGUAAGUCACAACCCAACCUGCUGGAGAAUGGCAAUUUAAACAAUGGUGUCACCAUUAAGAAUAAUCUUUCAAUCAAAGAUGACAAGAACAGAGAGUGGGAGAAACUUGGCACCUUCACUUUUCAUGAUGAUGCUUGUAGUUUAGGAGCUGUUGGGGGCCACUACGAUGUGCCGUCAACACUUCAAAGACAAGCGCGCGUAAAGGCUUUAGAGGCAGAUGCCACUAAUCCCAAUCUUAAUAUCUACCAUUCCAUUGAGAGUUUAAAGGACAAUAGACUCGUGGAGCACGUUUAUGAUGAAAUAAAACAACGACCUCCUCCUCCAAAAGAUCCAGAUUUCAACAAAACUGCUGUAACUGGAAAUAUCUACUUCUUAUAGUGUUCACAAUAUUCAGAAGGAGUGGUUCGUGUAAGUUUGGCGCAUAUUAAUUUGCGUCAGGGUGUAGCAAGACUUGUGUGAUGCUCCGUUCCUGUUAGAGGAUGGUGAGUACGACCACCUGACUUAUUCACGUCCAGUGGGCGAAGUGAAGCCGCACUACUACACUAUGGCAUCUCAGCUACGCCGUUCGGCUGAUCAGUUGUCUAAGGAGGCACCCACCACCAGCAG
rnacentral:misc_RNA from 1 species